rnacentral:lncRNA from 1 species
GAGCACGUGGCGGUUGUUGUGGUGCCUCCCGCAGCGGAGCGGGAGAAUGAGUGGCCAAUGAGGAACUUGUCGCUUCGCGGCAAACUAAGGGAGGACCAAUAGUGAGGACCCACGGGGGCCUCCAUGGGGGCGGGGGUAAGAUUACUCCUUAGUCGGUAACCAGGAAUCUAGGCUUCUUGAGACUGAAGGGGCGGGGCCGCGCGAGGCGGAGUGAUGCGAAACCCGGAAUUUGGCCGCCCUGCGCGGUAGGCCCACCUGGGCUGGCCCGCGAUGUGGGCGGUCUUUCUUCCCUCAGAGAACCAGAGCAGCAAAGGAGGUGCAUGGCAGCUUGUCCAAAACUCCUGCACGUCCAGGCCCGGCUGAACCUGCCCGCUCCAUGAGAAGCCACACGAGGGCCUCUGGCAGAGGGUCCGGGUUGGGGACUUGCAACUGCAGUAGGACAAGGGUGCCAAGGCAGGCUGGCGCAAGUUGGCGAGAAAGAGAGGGCCUUGUUAUUUUGGUGGAAAAGAGACACUCCAUUUAUUCAUUUUAAUGAAUAAAGUCAAUCAUUUAUUGAACACCAGCUGCCAGGCAUUGUUCUGGAUGCUGGAAAAAGUGGCCAACAGAAGAUGCUCUCCCUCCUGGUGUAGCCAAGAAGACAGGCACCCAAGAGCUUAUGCUAAAUAAGAGCCAGUGUUUGCUGGGCAGGGUGCUGAUGGAAAUAACAGCCAAGUGGAGGCUGGAGCGUUGGAUAGUGGGCCCCAUGCUACAUGAAGUGAUCUGGAAAACUCUGUGAAGAGGUGAUGCUUGUCACUAUAAGAAGAUCCUUGGGGAGUUCCUGUUCUGAGGCAGCGGAAAUGAAUCCGACUAGGAACCAUGAAAUUGCAGGCAGCAUGUGCCUGUGGAAACAAAGGGGAAGAAGCAGAAAUAAGAUGAGAAACAAGACGACUGCUGGAGGUGGACCUGGUGCCCCCCCCAUCUCCUGGCUCAUGGACCCCACAACUGCGGUGGGUGGGCCUCACUGCAGCUUCAGCCACCCCAUCCCCAGCAGCUGUGUCCCCGGUGGCCCUUCCUGUCUAGGUCAUAGGGUAUUUUUAGCACUGAAUCCGGAACUCACUUGGCAGCAGCUGCUCAUGGCCAGAGCACAAGAACAACAAACUGUCCAGGUGGGCCGUGCGGACCUGCCCUGCAGCAGGAGCGACCUGGGCCUGGCUCUCUGA